UACGUAGGGAGCAAGCGUUGUCCGGAAUCAUUGGGCGUAAAGCGCGCGUAGGCGGCCCCGUAAGUCCGCUGUGAAAGUCAAAGGCUCAACCUUUGAAAGCCGGUGGAUACUGUGGGGCUAGAGUCCGGAAGAGGCGAGUGGAAUUCCUGGUGUAGCGGUGAAAUGCGCAGAUAUCAGGAGGAACACCAAUAGCGAAGGCAGCUCGCUGGGACGGUACUGACGCUAG
rnacentral:rRNA from 1 species